GAUGAACGCUAGCUACAGGCUUAACACAUGCAAGUCGAGGGGCAGCAUGUUGGUUGCUUGCAACCGAUGAUGGCGACCGGCGCACGGGUGAGUAACGCGUAUCCAACCUUCCCCACAGUAGAGAAUAGCCCGGCGAAAGUCGGAUUAAUGCUCUAUGUUCUCCUUUGAUGGCAUCUGACGAGGAGCAAAGGUUCACCGCUAUGGGAUGGGGAUGCGUCUGAUUAGCUUGUCGGCGGGGUAACGGCCCACCGAGGCAACGAUCAGUAGGGGUUCUGAGAGGAAGGUCCCCCACACUGGUACUGAGACACGGACCAGACUCC
rnacentral:rRNA from 1 species